UACGUAGGGUGCGAGCGUUAAUCGGAAUUACUGGGCGUAAAGCGUGCGCAGGCGGUUCGUUAAGUUCGUUGUGAAAGCCCCGGGCUCAACCUGGGAACUGCAAUGGAAACUGGCGGGCUUGAGUGUGGCAGAGGGGGGUGGAAUUCCGCGUGUAGCAGUGAAAUGCGUAGAGAUGCGGAGGAACACCGAUGGCGAAGGCAGCUCGCUGGGACGGUACUGACGCUGAGGCGCGAAAGCGUGGGGAGCGAACAGG
rnacentral:rRNA from 1 species